rnacentral:lncRNA from 1 species
GACGAUAGACAAUAAACCUAAGUGAUUGUGUGAUAUCCAGAGAAAAUUAAUCACCUCAAAACAGAGAAGGAGAAAGUUGGAAGUACAAAAUGACAUGUCUGAGUUUUUCUGUGACUCCAAAAUACCCACUCAGAAUAUCACAGAGCAACAGAGAAAAUGUGGAUCACUCCAACUCUAGCACAAGGUCGGGGAGGAAAAAAAUCAGAGAGUUUGGAAUUUCUAAGUGCUCGUGUUUGAGAAAUGGGGAGCAUCACAAACUAACAGCAGAGGUGGACAUUUUUUACUGAGUGAUGGAACAGCACUCGUCAAAUGCAAAUAACAAUUGUACAAAGAAG